UAGGCGUAGGCGAUGGAUAACAGGUUGAUAUUCCUGUACCCGUUGUUUUUGUUUGAGCAAUGGAGGGACGCAGGAGGCUAAGGAAUCAGACGAUUGGAAAUGUCUGUCCAAGCAAUAAGUCUUGAUGUGAGUCAAAUGCUUACGUCUUUAAGGACAAGUUGUGAUGGGGAGGGAAAUAAUAGUACCGAAGUUCCUGAUGUCACACUGCCGAGAAAAGCUUCUAGUGAGAAAACAAUGGCCCGUACCGCAAACCGACACAGGUAGUCGAGGAGAGAAUCCUAAGGUGAGCGAGAGAACUCUCGUUAAGGAACUCGGCAAAAUGACCCCGUAACUUCGGGAGAAGGGGUGCUGAUCUAACGAUCAGCCGCAGUGAAUAGGCCCAAGCGACUGUUUAUCAAAAACACAGGUCUCUGCAAAAUCGAAAGAUGACGUAUAGGGGCUGACGCCUGCCCGGUGCUGGAAGGUUAAGAGGAGUGCUUAGCGUAAGCGAAGGUACGAAUUGAAGCCCCAGUAAACGGCGGCCGUAACUAUAACGGUCCUAAGGUAGCGAAAUUCCUUGUCGGGUAAGUUCCGACCCGCACGAAAGGCGUAACGAUUUGGGCACUGUCUCAACGAGAGGCUCGGUGAAAUUUUAGUACCUGUGAAGAUGCAGGUUACCCGCGACAGGACGGAAAGACCCCAUGGAGCUUUACUGCAGUUUGAUAUUGAGUGUUUGUACCACAUGUACAGGAUAGGUAGGAGCCGUAGAAGUCGGGACGCUAGUUUCGACAGAGGCGCUGGUGGGAUACUACCCUUGUGUUAUGACCACUCUAACCCGCACCACUGAUCGUGGUGGGAGACAGUGUCAGAUGGGCAGUUUGACUGGGGCGGUCGCCUCCUAAAGAGUAACGGAGGCGCCCAAAGGUUCCCUCAGAAUGGUUGGAAAUCAUUCGCAGAGUGUAAAGGCACAAGGGAGCUUGACUGCGAGACCUACAAGUCGAGCAGGGACGAAAGUCGGGCUUAGUGAUCCGGUGGUUCCGCAUGGAAGGGCCAUCGCUCAACGGAUAAAAGCUACCCUGGGGAUAACAGGCUUAUCUCCCCCAAGAGUCCACAUCGACGGGGAGGUUUGGCACCUCGAUGUCGGCUCGUCGCAUCCUGGGGCUGUAGUCGGUCCCAAGGGUUGGGCUGUUCGCCCAUUAAAGCGGCACGCGAGCUGGGUUCAGAACGUCGUGAGACAGUUCGGUCCCUAUCCGUCGCGGGCGUUGGAAAUUUGAGAGGAUCUGUCCUUAGUACGAGAGGACCGGGAUGGACUUACCGCUGGUGUACCAGUUGUCUCGCCAGAGGCAUCGCUGGGUAGCUAUGUAGGGAAGGGAUAAACGCUGAAAGCAUCUAAGUGUGAAGCCCACCUCAAGAUGAGAUUUCCCAUUUCUUUAAGAAAGUAAGAUCCCUGAGAGAUGAUCAGGUAGAUAGGUCAGAAGUGGAAGUGCAGUGAUGUACGGAGCGGACUGAUACUAAUCGAUCGAGGACUUAACCAA
rnacentral:rRNA from 1 species